rnacentral:miRNA from 1 species
AACCUCAUCGACCAGAAGGAAAUCCUUCUGGUUGAUGAGGUAUAACAACCUCAUCGACCAGAAGGAAAUCCUUCUGGUUGAUGAGGUA